rnacentral:rRNA from 1 species
GAAUUCACUAGUGAUUCAGGCCUAACACAUGCAAGUCGAGCGGUAGAGAGAAGCUUGCUUCUCUUGAGAGCGGCGGACGGGUGAGUAAUGCCUAGGAAUCUGCCUGGUAGUGGGGGAUAACGUUCGGAAACGGACGCUAAUACCGCAUACGUCCUACGGGAGAAAGCAGGGGACCUUCGGGCCUUGCGCUAUCAGAUGAGCCUAGGUCGGAUUAGCUAGUUGGUGAGGUAAUGGCUCACCAAGGCGACGAUCCGUAACUGGUCUGAGAGGAUGAUCAGUCACACUGUUUCAGAGACACGGUCCAGACUCCUACGGGAGGCAGCAGUGGGGAAUAUUGGACAAUGGGCGA